rnacentral:rRNA from 1 species
UACGGAGGGAGCUAGCGUUGUUCGGAAUUACUGGGCGUAAAGCGUACGUAGGCGGUUAUUCAAGUUAGAGGUGAAAGCCCGGAGCUCAACUCCGGAACUGCCUUUAAGACUGCAUCGCUAGAAUCAUGGAGAGGUGAGUGGAAUUCCGAGUGUAGAGGUGAAAUUCGUAGAUAUUCGGAAGAACACCAUUGGCGAAGGCGACUCACUGGACAUGUAUUGACGCUGAGGUGCGAAAGCGUGGGGAGCAAACAGG